UUUGUAUGGUAAGUGACAAAUGUACGUGUCUUGGUUCAGAUUUCAGUCCACAUUGUGUGGCUGCUUACUUCUUGUUUGGAAACACACAGAAAAGCAAACGAAAAGGAGAGCUGGGCUGUUUUUUUUUUUUAAUAAUAAGAGCUAGGCUUAUUAUCGAUGGGUGGUGAUAUAUAUUAUGCUGAUCCAUCAUUUCCGAUCUUUGUAGUGUUGAUCUUCUUCCUUGGAUGGGAUUUUGGAGGAUUGUGAGGCUGAUUUUGAUUUGGGAUGGAGACAUUCUGGGGAUCCCAAAAAGAUAUUUUCAGUUGUUCACGGUGGCCACUAGCAGCCCAUGGUUUUCUUUCUCCUCUCUUUGAAAUUUAUGUCGAUCUCCAUCAGACAACCAAGUUGUGUAUGAGUCCGAUUCAGACAUACACACACACACAUGGUAUGUUUGUAUAUAUGCAUAUGCAUGCAUAUAUGAAUGUAUCGAUGCAUGUAUUGUCUAUCCUAUUUAGAACUAUGCAAUUUGCAUAGUUUGAUAAUUCUAUUGUGAUGAUAGCUGUGGUUUAUGAUGAUAUAUAUCAGACUCAUCUCCAAUAAAGCUUCAAACUACUAAGGUUUUGGUUCAACA